UUGUGAGUUUGAAACCUGGCUCAGGAUGAACGCUGGCGGCGUGCCUAAUACAUGCAAGUCGAGCGAAUGGAUUAAGAGCUUGCUCUUAUGAAGUUAGCGGCGGACGGGUGAGUAACACGUGGGUAACCUGCCCAUAAGACUGGGAUAACUCCGGGAAACCGGGGCUAAUACCGGAUAACAUUUUGAACUGCAUGGUUCGAAAUUGAAAGGCGGCUUCGGCUGUCACUUAUGGAUGGACCCGCGUCGCAUUAGCUAGUUGGUGAGGUAACGGCUCACCAAGGCAACGAUGCGUAGCCGACCUGAGAGGGUGAUCGGCCACACUGGGACUGAGACACGGCCCAGACUCCUACGGGAGGCAGCAGUAGGGAAUCUUCCGCAAUGGACGAAAGUCUGACGGAGCAACGCCGCGUGAGUGAUGAAGGCUUUCGGGUCGUAAAACUCUGUUGUUAGGGAAGAACAAGUGCUAGUUGAAUAAGCUGGCACCUUGACGGUACCUACCAGAAUACGACUCG
rnacentral:rRNA from 1 species